ensembl:lncRNA
GGGGGGAGAGCAUCACAGAGAAAGCGCUCUCUAGCUUCGGAUACCGUGUAACGACUCGGACGAAUUCACAUCCCAACAUCAACCAGAGCAGGGGUCAGCGGACCAACGCAUACAACCUGGGAAAUUGGGGGAUUACAUUUUUCUUUUAAAUGGAUUCCUCUGGACAUUUCCUUCGUCGAAAGAAGACCUCAUCAAAUUGACUUCAUAGGUUGAGAAGCAACUGCUCUCUAUCCCCCUGUCUCCGUGUCUGCCCCACAUAGUGCUGUGGACUGGAUAAGUAGGUGCACAAUGGCUUAUGGACAUAGUAGUUUAGCGCAGAAAAUGUGCUAAUUAACUCUGUAGAAUAUUAGCCUGUUUGGAACU